CUCCGCUGGGAGAAGUGGGAUUCUUGCUUUUGUCCGAGAAAGGAGGAAGGACCUUCGGUUUUGAGAAGAAACCAUUUCUCUGUUUCUGUGGGAACGACAGAUGAGGUGGGCUCGAGAUACCUACUCCCAUCAAGUGUCUCCCAUCUCCCAUCAAGUGUUUCUCUCUCAUCGCUGCUUUCUCCUCUCAUACCCAAACCACCGGAUCACUAUGGUUACUGUACCCCUUGUUGAUGAUCUUCUCCUCUCCGUUAUUCCCUGUUUCUCGGUAAAAAAAUUAUCCCGAUACAGCCUUUUGUUUCUCUCUUUUUUUUCCAAGUACUUACUGAUCUGUUCCAAAACUUUUCUUUUGGGACCACUACGGCUGCUGUACUCCUCUUCCAUGAUCUUCUCCUCUCCGUUGUUCUCUAUUUCUCUGAAAUUUUUGGUGCUUUUGUUGUGCUACAUUCUCCUUCACUGAGUUAUUACAAAGAUGGAUGGUGAUUGUUUUUGGAAAAGAGUGUAGCUUUCUGGCUGGAGAAUCACGGCAGAUGAAAGUUGUUAAAUAGGCUAAUUUAUUUUGUUCUCAGUUAGGCUAUGAUGAUAUGGUUUUGGUUUCAUUAGAUGUAUUUCAGGCUUUAAAUUGAUUGCUGUAUCUUGGCGAGGCAACCCUGAUUGCAUUUGAGGUUCAUUCUUCCCUUCAAAUGCAAUGGGUCUGCAGUCAUGGCGGUACUCUCAUCUCUGCCUGACUUUUGCUGACAAACCUGAGCCUUAAUUUAAACUACCAUAAUUACUGCUUAAUUUAAUUAAAAAGAUUUGAUCACUGAUUCCUUUUUUUCCCUUUGUAUAAUAAUUUUCGAACCUUGACAAUUUCUGAUGGUUCUUAUUGGUUGUUUUCACCUUUGAAGCAAUAUCUACAGAGCUAUACCAAAAAUUGUCAGAUGGGAUUAGUGCCAUUGGAGAAAUAGAUGACGAUUUCAUUUGUGCCACUUUGGAUUGGUGGCCACCUGAGAAAUGUGACUAUGGAACCUGUAGCUGGGACCAUGCUUCCCUUCUCAAUCUGGUACUUUCCAUUUUCUUGCAUUUGCAGCUAUUUCGUGUUUCAUGUUUAUGUCUUUGCGUGUGUGUGUGCGCCUUUUUUAAUGUUACCUGCAACCAUACUACGUUGGUAUGCUGAAGUUGAUGGAUUUAGUCCACCUAAACCAAUGUCGUCUUUUAUAACAAGGGGAUGAUGGCUUGUUUGAGCUGUAUAUUUCAGCUUCAAAUUCAUUUCCAGUUAAAAAGAUGCGAUUUUUAUGCUUUAGACGGUGUGUUAGAAAAGUUUUUUGAUGGCUGCGAAUUCCACUCUGAUGCUUUCAGCAAUGAGGUUGUAAAAGGGGAAGGAGACAAUACUUGUCGCUUAUCAUUUAUGCUCUGUUUUGUUUGCCUUCUUUGAUUAAAGUCCAAAAGAUCUUGAUUGUGUUUUGAGAGAGAUGUUAACGAAUUUCAAAUUGUCCAAAAUGAUUCUGGGCUAUUAUAUGCCGUGGCCAAUUUGAAUUGAAAGAUUAGUGUUUAAUGGACUGGUUUGAUCUGUUUCUUGUUUUAU